rnacentral:rRNA from 1 species
GACGAACGCUGGCGGCGUGCUUAACACAUGCAAGUCGAACGGAAAGGCCCUGCUUUUGUGGGGUGCUCGAGUGGCGAACGGGAGAGUAACAUGUGAGUAACCUGCCCUUGACUUUGGGAUAACUUCAGGAAACUGGGGCUAAUACCGGAUAGGAGCUCCUGCUGCAUGGUGGGGGUUGGAAAGUUUCGGCGGUUGGGGAUGGACUCGCGGCUUAUCAGCUUGUUGGUGGGGUAGUGGCUUACAAAGGCUUUGACGGGUAGCCGGCCUGAGAGGGUGACCGGCCACAUUGGGACUGAGAUACGGCCCAGACUCCUACGGGAGGCAGCAGUGGGGAAUAUUGCACAAUGGGCGGAAGCCUGAUGCAGCGACGCCGCGUGCGGGAUGACGGCCUUCGGGUUGUAAACCGCUUUCAGCUGUGACGAAGCGUGAGUGACGGUAAUGGGUGAAGAAGCACCGGCUAACUACGUG